UGGAUUAGUGGCGAACGGGUGAGUAACACGUGGGCAAUCUGCCCUUCACUCUGGGACAAGCCCUGGAAACGGGGUCUAAUACCGGAUAACACUCUGUCCCGCAUGGGACGGGGUUGAAAGCUCCGGCGGUGAAGGAUGAGCCCGCGGCCUAUCAGCUUGUUGGUGGGGUGAUGGCCUACCAAGGCGACGACGGGUAGCCGGCCUGAGAGGGCGACCGGCCACACUGGGACUGAGACACGGCCCAGACUCCUACGGGAGGCAGCAGUGGGGAAUAUUGCACAAUGGGCGAAAGCCUGAUGCAGCGACGCCGCGUGAGGGAUGACGGCCUUCGGGUUGUAAACCUCUUUCAGCAGGGAAGAAGCGAAAGUGACGGUACCUGCAGAAGAAGCGCCGGCUAACUACGUGCCAGCAGCCGCGGUAAUACGUAGGGCGCAAGCGUUGUCCGGAAUUAUUGGGCGUAAAGAGCUCGUAGGCGGCUUGUUGCGUCGGUUGUGAAAGCCCGGGGCUUAACCCCGGGUCUGCAGUCGAUACGGGCAGGCUAGAGUGUGGUAGGGGAGAUCGGAAUUCCUGGUGUAGCGGUGAAAUGCGCAGAUAUCAGGAGGAACACCGGUGGCGAAGGCGGAUCUCUGGGCCAUUACUGACGCUGAGGAGCGAAAGCGUGGGGAGCGAACA
rnacentral:rRNA from 1 species